UACGUAGGGACCAAGCGUUGUUCGGAUUUACUGGGCGUAAAGGGCGCGUAGGCGGCAAUUCAAGUCAGCUGUGAAAUCUCCGAGCUUAACUCGGAACGGUCAGCUGAUACUGUUUUGCUAGAGUGCAGAAAGGGCAACCGGAAUUCUUGGUGUAGCGGUGAAAUGCGUAGAUAUCAAGAGGAACACUAGUGGCGAAGGCGAGACUCUGGACAGUUCCUGACGCUGAGGCACGAAGGCCAGGGGAGCAAACGGG
rnacentral:rRNA from 1 species